AUGUCUUAAGCAAUGUUUGGCAACACUGUCGAAGUAUAUGAGAUCAAUUGUCUAAUUCCAACAUCAAUGGUUUUGUAGGAGCAGGUGACUGGCAGUUUAUCAAAAGGAAAUCAAGUUCUAUAAAAGAUUUACGUCUAGGCUAAGAUACGCCAGGUUGCGAGUUAUCGUCUUUGGAGUGAACCAAUCUUCACCACAGAUUUUAUUCACCCUCCUCACAAGUUUCUGCCUGCGAUCCGGCAGAAGUACGAUGAUUCAUGUCUCUACCCAAGACGAUUGUAGACAUUCAAUGGUUGAUCAGGCAUGCUUAGAGAGAUUUUAAGAUGGUACCUCGUGAAACUGUGGAUAGGACUCAACAGAACAUGGAUCAAAAUGCAGGAAUUGUCCACGUCAUCUCUCAGAAACACCGUUGUUCGUCUCAAGACAGAUUGUUCAAACAGCUGAAAAAAAAAGAAUGGUUAGAUCUUAAUGGUUACUCUUAAGUCCUGAUUCGUAUUUAUUUCAACGUAAUAUUCGAGCAACAAACUAUUUUUUGCAUACUUUGGAUAAUCUAAGUCCUUUAUGGCUUUUUUUACUUUGUUUGUUAUCGCAUUGUC